CCAAAGCAGCCCCUGAGGUAAGUCAGGGCUAGUCCACAUGGGUGUUGCAGUGAUGUCAUCUCCAGAGCACCGUCUUCUAGCAUACGGUGACUUGCACGCACACCACCCUCAUUUCUAUCCUGGGGCUCCCUAUGGUUUUUCAUAGGCCAAAGCACAUAAAAUAAAUUUCCCCUUCUGGGGGGUUCUGAUACAUUAUAAAUUAAUUCAUUUAUUUAUUUUCUCCCCUCUUGUCACUUUACCUUUCUCUCUGUGUUGCCUCCAGAAGCAGUACCCGGCCAGGGCAAUGAGAACCACCAGGAGAGCCAGGAUCACCCCCAGAACCACAGUCCAGGCAUCGACUCUUGGGAAAAACAGCUCUGCAAGAGAAAGUGUUAUUGACUUGGGAACAAAUAUGUACGUAAGAAUAUUAGAACAGCCAGAUGGGGUCAAACAAAUGUUCCAUGGAGCCCAGUAUCCUGUCUUCUGACAGUGGCCAAAGCCAGAUGCUGCAGAGGGAAUGAACGGAACAGGGCAAUAAUCAAGUGAUCCAUCCCCUGUCACCCACACCCAGCUUCUGGCAGUCAGAGGUUUAAGGACACCCAGAGCAAGGGGCCACAUCCCUGCCCAUCUUGGCUAGUAGCCAUUGGUGGACCCGUCCUCCAUGAACAUACCUGCUUCUUUUCUGAACCCAGUUAUACUUUUGGCCUUCACUAGAUGGCAAUGAGCUUCACAGGUUGACUGUGCGUUGUGUGAAGAAAUAUUUCUUUUAGUUUGCUUUAAACCUGCUGCCUAUUAGUUUCAUUCCUUGGUUCUUGUAUUAUGUGAAGGGGUACGUAACACUUCCUUGUUCACUUUCUCCACACCCGUCACAAUUUUAUAGACCUCUGCCCUAUCCCCCCUUAGCUGUCUCUUUCCCAAGCUGAAAAGUCCCAGUCAUUUUAAUUUCUCCUCAGAGUGAAGCUGUUCCAGGCCCUUAAACAUUUUUGUUGCCAUUCUCUGUACCUUUCCAUUUCUAAUAUAGCUUUUUUGAGAUGGGGCAACCAGAACUGCCUACAGUAUUCAAGAUGUGGGCGUACCAUGGGUUUAUAUAUAUUUAUUAUGAUAUUUACUGUCUUAUGAUCUACUCCCUUUCUAAUAGUUCCUAACAUUCUGUUCGCUUUUAUUCAUACCACUGCACACUGAGUGGAUGUUUUCAGAGAACUAUCCGCAAUGAGUCCAAGAUCUCUUUCUUGAGUAGAAACAGGUAAGUAAGGCCUGAUCAUUUUAUAUGUCUAGUUGGGAUUAUGUUUAUCAGUGUGCAUCACUUUGCAUUUAUCCACAUUGAAUUUCAUCUGCCACUGUGUUCCCCAGUUUUUUGAGAUCCCUUCAUAAUUCUUCACAGUCUGUUUUGGACUUAACUAUCUUGCGUAAUUUUGUAUCAUCUUCAAGUUUUACCAUCUCAUUGUUUACCUCUUUUUCAGACCUUUUAUUAGUAUGUUGAACAACACUGGUCCCAGUACAGAUUCCUGAAGGACAUCACGAUUUACCUCUCUUCUUUCUGAAAACUGACCAUCUAUUCCUACUCUUUGUGUCCUGUCUUUUAAGCAGAAGCAAUUAGAGGUCCCAGCUGAGACUGGGUCCCCAGCGGGCUGGGCGUCGCGCACACAUCCUAGGAGACAGUCUGUGCUGAAGAGUUUUCAGUCUCAACAGGCAUGAUGGAGAAAGGGCGAGCGAGGAAACAGAGGCACAGAGACUUGCCCAAAUUCUUGCACAGCUCAGUAGCAAAGGCAAGACUGGAACCCUGUCCCUUGGCGCUCAGUCGACGGCUCUAUCCACCAGGUAACCCUGCCUCUCACGUAUUGCUGGUCUAGCAUAUGUGCACCUGCUUCACAUUCUCCAGCGGCCCCAUAAUCCUGCCAGCUCCCGAGCAGGGACAAGGGACUGGCUUUCCCGUUGAUGAACACAGACCGUGCCUCUCGCCACAGACACUUCGCGGCAGGUCUGAAGGGGUGAAUAAGAACCUCUGGAAGGAGCUGUGCACAGUUUAACGGAUGGGCAGGGAGGCUAAACUCUUCCACUGCUUUCACUUGCAAAGGUCUGACCAAAGUCCAGCACCUGUGCUUUGCUUUCCAUCCCAGGGCUAUGAAGAGUGUGUGCCAGCGGUUACCAGUAACCAAACAGGUUUUCCAAAGCAGGGAACAUUUAUGGACAAAAGCCCGAGAGAGAAAAGUUACCACAAACCAAUCAAACAUCUUACACUUGUCGCAAAGCAUUCUCAUCUGGCACAUGGGGACAGACUCUCUGUCAAACCUUUCUCUAAGGGGUUCUCUCAGUUUGUAGCCCAAGAUCCCAGGCUUCUGGUUAGCUUAAAUCAGCUUUUCAUACUAAAAAUCUUCAUUCUCUUUGGUUUCUGGAACCUGCUCUGAACUAGUUUAAGCGCCUGGGGUGGUACUUCUCUGGAGCUGUUAUCUGUCCCACAAGAAAUUACGCCCCAUCAUUUGUAUAUCCUGCAGGAGAUGGGGUAACUCUCCCCCACGGAGUAGAUUACAAUCCGGAGCCCACAAAGAUACAUAUAGAACGGAUCGAUACUGUGAAGUUCCACUCCGUAUGCAUUAUGAAAAUAGGCUUAUGAAUCUGAAAAUAAAAGGAGUACUCUGAAUCUGAAAAUGACAUAGCUGGAAUGUGCUUUAUGCAAAAGGUCUCUUGUAACAUAUCAUUGACUAAGUUAUAAUGUGCUGACUUUGAUUUUCCUAUUUGUACACAUGUAUCGUUCUUAUAGAAAUAUGAGGUAUGAACUUGUAUUACUGGUGUAGUCAUACCAGGUGAGGGCAGUCAAUGGGGCAUCAGGAACUUGGUGACUCCCAUUGACAGGACAAUUGGCUGUAAAUGGCCUUGUUUAUCUUAAAGCCUUCCUGCCUAUGGGUCAGGCAACCUAGGAAGAAUGGAGACUGGGGUCUUACACAGACAUGUGACCAUGUCACCUGAUACUGAAAUCCAUCUUGAAGCGGGUACUUUUCCAGAGUGGGGGUGGGAUUCCAAACAAGGGUUUCCCCGCCUUAGGGAAAUUCUAUAUAAGGCGGGGGAAGUAAACAAUGAGGGUCUUCAUCUGGCUUAAGAGAUGGCCUCCCCACCCCAAGGAGAUACCUGAAAGUAUCUGGAAACAAAAGAACUGUAACUACAGGGGUGGGAGAGAACAGGCUGGACCCAGGUCAGAAAAGGCAACUGACCUGGGAAGCAUUUUACUUGAAAUAACAUUGAGGGUGAGAAGUUAUCAUCUGUAACUGAUUUCUUAGUGUAUUAAGCUGAGCCGUGCGUGUUUUGGUUUAUCUUGCUUUAUGAUUUACUUUGUUCUGUCUGUUAUUACUCAAAACAACUCAAAUCCUACUUUUUAUACUUAAUAAAAUUGCUUUUGUUUAUUAAUAAACCCAGUGCAAGUAAUUGUUACCUGGGGGAAAAACAGUUGUGCACGUCUCUCUUUCAGUGAUAUAGAGGGUGAA